rnacentral:misc_RNA from 1 species
GAUGAAGAACGUAGCGAAAUGCGAUACGUAAUGUGAAUUGCAGAAUUCAGUGAAUCAUCGAGUCUUUGAACGCACAUUGCGCCCCCUGGUAUUCCGGGGGGCAUGCCUGUCCGAGCGUCAUUGCUGCCCUCAAGCCCGGCUUGUGUGUUGGGCCCCGUCCUCCGAUCCCGGGGGACGGGCCCGAAAGGCAGCGGCGGCACCGCGUCCGGUCCUCGAGCGUAUGGGGCUUUGUCACCCGCUCUGUAGGCCCGGCCGGCGCUUGCCGAUCAACCCAAAUUUUUAUCCAGGUUGACCUCGGAUCAGGUAGGGAUACCCGCUGAACUUAAGCAUAUCAAUAAGCGGAGGA